rnacentral:rRNA from 1 species
CUUGGGAGAAUGACUUCUUAGUAUAAUAUACGUAUGUGCUUUUUAUAUAUUUAUAUUAUAAUUAGGAAAUAUCACGAAAUGUGAAUGUAAUUCUAGGUAAAAGAUUGAUAAUGACAAAUUUUUAUCUAUAUGUCUUGACCAAAUCUUGUGCCAGCAGUCGCGGCAACACAAGGAAGACUAGUGUUAUUCAUCUUAAAUAGGUUUAUGGGGUACCUAGACGGUAAAUUAGGCCUUAAAUGGAACGUUUUUACUAGAGUUAUACAUGCGUGGGGAUUGUGUAAGUAUUACCAGAGUAGAGAUGUAAUUUUUUAAUACGGUUAAGACUGGUAAAGGCGAAGGCAAACCUUUAUAUAUUAACUGACGUUGAGGGACGAAGGCUUGGGGCGCAAACAGGAUUAGAUACCCUAAUAGUCCAGGCAGAGAAUUAUGAAUGUCAUAGAUUAU